UAGGGAAUCUUCCGCAAUGGGCGAAAGCCUGCCGGAGCAACGCCGCGUGAGUGAUGAAGGUCUUCGGAUCGUAAAACUCUGUUAUUAGGGAAGAACAAAUGUGUAAGUAACUAUGCACGUCUUGACGGUACCUAAUCAGAAAGCCACGGCUAACUACGUGCCAGCAGCCGCGGUAAUACGUAGGUGGCAAGCGUUAUCCGGAAUUAUUGGGCGUAAAGCGCGCGUAGGCGGUUUUUUAAGUCUGAUGUGAAAGCCCACGGCACAACCGUGGAGGGUCAUUGGAAACUGGAAAACGUGAGUGCAGAAGAGGAAAGUGGAAUUCCAUGUGUAGCGGUGAAAUGCGCAGAGAUAUGGAGGAACACCAGUGGCGAAGGCGACUUUCUGGUCUGUAACUGACGCUGAUGUGCGAAAGCGGGGGGAUCAAACAGG
rnacentral:rRNA from 1 species